rnacentral:tRNA from 1 species
GGGGAUAUAGCUCAGUGGUAGAGCUCUUGCCUUGUGUGCAUAAGGCCCUGGGUUUGAUCCCCCAUACCACCA